UUGAUGCCCCCGGUGGCAUCCUUGUCGAUUCAAAGCAACCUAACUCCAAAACAAGGUCAAGUUCAAGGUCAAACUGAGGUCAGGUGAUGUCUGAAGAUAAGGAAUGGUCACAGGUUAUGUCUGCAUUAGUAUCAAGUCAUCCUAGUAAGUGGUAUUGAUGCUAGACGAAACGGUCCCAUUUGGUUAACCAAGAGAUGGCCCAUAUAAAGCAACCUAAGUCCAAAAUGAGGUCAAGGUCAAGGUCAAACUGAGGUCAGGUGAUGUCUGAAGAUGAGGAAUGGUUACAGGUUACAUCUGCAUUAGUAUCAAGUCAUUCUAGUAAGGGGUAUUGAUGCUAGACAAAACGGUCCCAUUUGGUUAACCAAGAGAUGGCCCAUUUAAAGCAACCUAAGUCCAAAAUGAGGUCAAGGUCAAGGUCAAACUGAGGUCAGGUGAUGUCUGAAGAUGAGGAAUGGUCACAGGUUACAUCUGCAUUAGUAUCAAGUCAUUCUAGUAAGGGGUAUUGAUGCUAGACUUAACGGCCCCAUUUGGUUAACCUCGUACAGACGGACUAACGGACAGGACAAUCACUAUAUGCCUCCCGCAUCAGUAGAUGCUGGGGGCAUAAAAAUAGUAACUAAAGUAUCGAGCCCCUAUCCUGCACCUAAAAGCUUUUUUUUUGGAAAACCCAGCCAUUUCAUGCAAGUCCAACCUCUGCUUUUUUUGGAGGAUGCUCAGAAAUCCACGAAUUUAUAUCCCCAUGAAAUUGCCGUUCUGACCAAAACCACUAAAUUUCAUGCCCAUGAAAUAAAUUGAUUUUACAGUAGCUUCAAGAUCCUACUACCACUCUCAUAGACCUUAAUCUUUAGCCUGCUGGCGGCAAGAGAUUUUGCCUUUGCAACCAGUGCAGACCAAGAUUAGCCUGUUCUCACUGUAUGCUAUUCAGUCGGUCAAUUUUCCGUGAACACCCCUUCAUAUAAUAAAUGGUCUGCCAAAUCGAAUGAAGGACCAGUCCAUUUUAGAAAUUAACCAGGCUAAAGGUUUAAAAUAAUCUUGCAAAUUAACACCAUAAUUCCUGAAAAAUCUUGUUACAGUUUAGGUGACCCGGACAGUAUUUUGCCUUCCAGCAAAAUCAGAAAGAAUUUCUAAGUUCAAAAUUUAUUGUAUUAGAUCCUCCAUGCAAAGUCCUGUAAAUUUUACCCAUGCCACCCACAAUAUUCAAAUAUUUUUAAGAACAAGAGCUGUCUCCGUAGGAUGACACAUGCCCCCGAUGGCACUUUGAAUGAAUAGUUAUGGCCGAUGUUAGAGUUUAGGACCUUUGACCUACAGAGCUGGGUCUUACGCGGGACACAUCGUCUUACUGUGUCACACAUUCAUGCAUAGUUAUUUUAAAAUCCAUGCAUAAAUGACAAAGAUAUGGACCGGACAUGCCCAUCAAUGCACUAUCAUGAAAAAUGAUCUUUAAUGUCUAAGUGUGACCUUGACCUUUGAGCUACGGACCUGGGUCUUGCGUGUGACACGUCGUCUUAUUGUGGUACACAUUCAUGCCAAGUUAUUUGAAAAUCCAUCCAUCGAUGACAAAGAUAUGGACCGAACACGCCCAUCAAUGCACUAUCCUUUAACAUCUAAGUGUGAACUUGACCUUUGAGCUACGAACCUGGGUCUUGCGCAGGACACAUCGUCUUACUGUGGUACAAUUUAAUGCCAAGUUAUUUGAAAAUCCAUCCAUCGAUGACAAAGAUAUGGACCGGACACGCCCAUCAAUGCACUAUCCUUUAACGUCUAAGUGUGACCUUGACCUUUGAGCUACGGACCUGGGUCUUGCGCACUGCACGUCGUCUUACUGUGGUACACAUUCAUGCCAAGUUAUUUGAAAAUCCAUCCAUCGAUGACAAAGAUAUGGACCGGACACGAAAACUGCGGACAGACCGACAGACUGACAGACCGACAGACAGACAGACGGUUCAAAAACUAUAUGCCUCCCUUCGGGGGCAUAAAAAUCUACUA